rnacentral:rRNA from 3 species
AUCCGGGUUGCGGACAGUGUCUGGUGGGUAGUUUGACUGGGGCGGUCUCCUCCUAAAGAGUAACGGAGGAGCACGAAGGUUGGCUAAUCCUGGUCGGACAUCAGGAGGUUAGUGCAAUGGCAUAAGCCAGCUUGACUGCGAGCGUGACGGCGCGAGCAGGUGCGAAAGCAGGUCAUAGUGAUCCGGUGGUUCUGAAUGGAAGGGCCAUCGCUCAACGGAUAAAAGGUACUCCGGGGAUAACAGGCUGAUACCGCCCAAGAGUUCAUAUCGACGGCGGUGUUUGGCACCUCGAUGUCGGCUCAUCACAUCCUGGGGCUGAAGUAGGUCCCAAGGGUAUGGCUGUUCGCCAUUUAAAGUGGUACGCGAGCUGGGUUUAGAACGUCGUGAGACAGUUCGGUCCCUAUCUGCCGUGGGCGCUGGAGAACUGAGGGGGGCUGCUCCUAGUACGAGAGGACCGGAGUGGACGCAUCACUGGUGUUCGGGUUGUCAUGCCAAUGGCACUGCCCGGUAGCUAAAUGCGGAAGAGAUAAGUGCUGAAAGCAUCUAA